rnacentral:rRNA from 1 species
CGGGACACGUGGUAUCCUGUCUGAAUAUGGGGGGACCAUCCUCCAAGGCUAAAUACUCCUGACUGACCGAUAGUGAACCAGUACCGUGAGGGAAAGGCGAAAAGAACCCCGGCGAGGGGAGUGAAAAAGAACCUGAAACCGUGUACGUACAAGCAGUGGGAGCACGCUUAGGCGUGUGACUGCGUACCUUUUGUAUAAUGGGUCAGCGACUUAUAUUCUGUAGCAAGGUUAACCGAAUAGGGGAGCCGAAGGGAAACCGAGUCUUAACUGGGCGUUAAGUUGCAGGGUAUAGACCCGAAACCCGGUGAUCUAGCCAUGGGCAGGUUGAAGGUUGGGUAACACUAACUGGAGGACCGAACCGACUAAUGUUGAAAAAUUAGCGGAUGACUUGUGGCUGGGGGUGAAAGGCCAAUCAAACCGGGAGAUAGCUGGUUCUCCCCGAAAGCUAUUUAGGUAGCGCCUCGUGAAUUCAUCUCCGGGGGUAGAGCACUGUUUCGGCAAGGGGGUCAUCCCGACUUACCAACCCGAUGCAAACUGCGAAUACCGGAGAAUGUUAUCACGGGAGACACA